GCUUGAUGUGUUAGCAUGGAAUAAUGAAAUAUGACUUUAGUCCUAUUUUCGUUGGUUUAGGUACUUCAGUAAUGAUGAAUAGAAACGGUUAGGGGCAUUUGUAUUUGGUCGCUAGAGGUGAAAUUCUUGGAUUG
rnacentral:rRNA from 1 species